rnacentral:rRNA from 1 species
AUUGAACGCUGGCGGCAGGCCUAACACAUGCAAGUCGAACGGUAGCACAGAGAGCUUGCUCUCGGGUGACGAGUGGCGGACGGGUGAGUAAUGUCUGGGAAACUGCCCGAUGGAGGGGGAUAACUACUGGAAACGGUAGCUAAUACCGCAUAACGUCGCAAGACCAAAGUGGGGGACCUUCGGGCCUCACACCAUCGGAUGUGCCCAGAUGGGAUUAGCUAGUAGGUGGGGUAAUGGCUCACCUAGGCGACGAUCCCUAGCUGGUCUGAGAGGGUGACCAGCCACACUGGAACUGAGACACGGUCCAGACUCCUACGGGAGGCAGCAGUGGGGAAUAUUGCACAAUGGGCGCAAGCCUGAUGCAGCCAUGCCGCGUGUAUGAAGAAGGCCUUCGGGUUGUAAAGUACUUUCAGCGGGGAGGAAGGCGGUGAAGUUAAUAGCUUUACCGAUUGACGUUACCCGCAGAAGAAGCACCGGCUAACUCCGUGCCAGCCGCCGCAGUAA